UACGAAGGGGGCUAGCGUUGUUCGGAAUUACUGGGCGUAAAGCGUGCGCAGGCGGUCUCUCAAGUCAGGGGUGAAAGCCCAGAGCUCAACUCUGGAAUUGCCUUUGAAACUGUGAGGCUCGAGUACGGGAGAGGUGAGUGGAAUUCCCAGUGUAGAGGUGAAAUUCGUAGAUAUUGGGAAGAACACCGGUGGCGAAGGCGGCUCACUGGCCCGUUUCUGACGCUCAUGCACGAUAGCGUGGGGAUCAAACAGG
rnacentral:rRNA from 1 species